AGCAGUUACCCUUGGGGCGUCGGGGGUGGGGAGGGGUUGGCGACGGGGACGGAAGAACGGGGAAAGGCGGGGCCGGCGGCCGCGCCAGGAGCUAGCGUAGCUUCUGCCGUUAGGGCACCCUCCUUCCUUGCUAAACACCGACUCUCCCGUCAGCCUCCAUGUGGUGUUGUGUGUGCGCUUCCCAGUUUUCCUGAGAGUGAAGAUCUCGAAGGAUUUCAUAGGUAUUUUUUUUCUUUGCUAUGUCAUCGUAGUCAGUGGUGGCAGAAAAGCGCUGAAGGCCCGGCUCGUUAGGCGUGAGAGUGGCCAAAGUGUUUGAGUUAGGUAUGGGGCAGUUCACCCUGUGGCGAGUUAGGGUGGAAUGUUUGCCCUUGGGACGGCGUAACGGAAAGGCACGGAGGUUGGGCGGUCCAGGUUAAUUCGAAGGCUGAUUUUGGCUGAAGGUCUGGCGACAGCAUCGGAUCCCACGUAGCAACUUUGGCCUGGCGCAAAAGAAGGAAGCUCUAACCCUUGGGAGUCUGGACAAAGGCUUUGGGCUAUAGAAGCGAUUCCUUCGGAUGAUCCCCAUUUGAGGAUGAUGGAUGUUAUGGGAAAUCCUGUGCCCUGUGGAUUCGUCUUCAUUUACAGUUCCUAUUAACGACUAUGGCUCUGUCGUCAUGCCUUUGGUUUUUAUUUUAACCAUCUACAUUAUAAAAGGAUAAAAGGCAGAUCUUCAUAAAGAAUAAUUGUGGACCGGGCUAGAUUAUUUUCUGCAAGGGAAACUCAUGCAUUUAGAAUUUCAUCAUAACUUUGGGUUUUAAGGAAUAGUCAUUUCCCCCCACCGUAUCUGGAGAAUGACUUGUUACUCUCUAGUUAAAAUCAGAUGGAUCUGAGAUAAUACCUAUUUAAAUUUAGUCUCGUUUCCCUAUCAGGCUUGAUUAGAAGAUGCACAUUUCAUAUUGUUUAGUAAUGGUGAUCAAGUGUGAUGAAUCCUGGAUAAAAUCAAAAUUACUUAAAAUGAACUUCUUAAUUUCAAGCUUUUCAGGACUCACUUCAUCUUUUCAUAGGUUAGAAGUUCUAACAUCACUGUCUUUAAAUCAACACAGUCGCAAAAAUACUUCUGUUACAUUCAUAAGUAGAAACAAUUCUAAGUGCAGUGUACUUUAGGGUAUUUUGUGUGUUUCUAUUUUUGUGUUAUGUUCUAAGAGUAGAAUUUCUGGUGAAUUUGCUUAAGGAAAUGACCUAUGGGAACCAUAGGAAAAGUGCUCAUUUUGAGAACUGGUCUCUUACAGAUGGCCUCCUAGGUGUGUCAUUGUUGAGGGAUAAAAUGGUACGUUACCCUACCAGCUAAAAGGGAAAAAAGUUAAUUGUUAGUUAUAUGUGGCAAAUUAGACAAAAUAUUUUAUCUUGUCUGCUUGGAUUGGAAUUCAUGAGAUUUGUACUCCUGGAACUAUUUAGUUCAAAUAUUGUUUUUAAGCUGAGGAUAAACUAGAAAUUUUUUGAAUUUGACAUGUUAUUCCUUGAAACGUCCCUACGUAGCUUGCAGAUAUAUUUAUGUUCUCAGGGCAUAUCCCUUUUUAAGUUUUUUAAAAAGUUGAGGAUAGACAAAAUGGCAUGUAUCUUACUUGCUUUGGAGCUAAGUUAAUUUGUAUAGGAAGGAAUCUUGGAACUUUAAUGUGGACAACUAGUACAGAAGCCAUUUAUAUAGUUUUUUAAACGUUGUUGUGGAUAUUGGUUUGUUGAAGGAACCAGGUUUGUACUCAUUUUUAUUUUUGGUACUGUGGAUUUUUCAUAAACGAUUUUUUUAGGGCAGUUUUUUUAGGUUUACAGCAAUACUGAGAAGAUGCAGAGAUUUCCUAUAUACCCCCUGCCCGCGCCCAUGUACUUUGUAAAUAUUUUAAUAGUAUUAAUAGUCAAUAUUUUAAGUAUCAAUUUGGCAUUGAUAAUUCAGAUGUAGAAAUGGCCAGUAAUUUCUUGAUACCUUGUUAGUUGAGCUUGUAGUUUAAAAAGUAAUCAGUGGACCCUUUCCAAAGGAAAAUAAGCCUUGCAGACCUCAAAGAAUAUGUCUUCCAACCACACUUUGUGGAAGAGUGGUACUUAAGUAUGUCUGCUUGGAAUUUGUAUUUCGUUUUUGCUGAAGGAUGAUUAAUUUCCCCUUGGAACAAAGAAGACCAUUUUGUAAUGUCCAUAGUUGUGGUUCCGUAUAUUGCUUCACUUUUAAUAGGUAAUUCUGAAGGGAAUAUCCUAAUCUGGCGUGUUUAAGAUCAAUUACAGGGUCCAAGGAUUAAUUAUAUUUCAUUUUCUUUCCACAGUUAAGUUGCUUUUACAGAAUUAACAGGUCUCCAAGAAAUUUUAAAAAGAUCUCUUCUAGGAGUGAGUCUCAAGAUGCUCUGAAGUGACUGCACAGAGGUGAUCUUUUGAAGGGGAAAAUGAGCCUGACAAUGCUUUUUUAUGUGAAGAACAAAUAAGGUAAGAUGGUUUGUGAUAUAACUAGAUGCCUAACCACAAAAAAAAAUUAGCUGUUGCCAGAAUAAGUCUCAGCAGUCCUUGUAAAGCAUGAAGUAUUUAAGAAGAAUAGCAAGUUGUUUCUCUGUCCCUGUCUACAUAUUUUCUCUACUUGUUCCGAAGAAAUCGUGUAUGUAAAAGAUUCUUUUUCUUCUUGGUACCAGUUUCAUAGAAUUUUACUUUCCCUGGUCCCACAACUCUCCCUAGUCUGCUUCCUUCUCUCCACAAUUGCUGUGUGGCAGAACACUAACGGCUUCUGCCUAUAGUUCGUUACGCCUCAGGACCUCUGUGUAUCUGUGUCCUUUGCCCUACAGGUGUUGCCAGGCAUCCUACGUGUCCCUCAGACUUCUAAUUAAGAAAUCAUUCUUUGAUUCGCCAGACUAUUUAGAAUCCUCACAGCACACUAUAUUUUUUCUUUACAGGACUGGUCACAUUAUAAAACUUAAACAGUUACACAGUACAGGCAUACUUCAUUUUAUUACACUUCAUUGUGCUUCACAGAGACUCUUUUACAACUUAAGGGUUUUGUGGCAAUGCUGCUUCAAGCAAGUCUGUCAGUGCCAUUUUUCCAACAGCAUUUGCUCACUUCGUGUCUCUGUCACAUUUUGGUAAUUAUUAACAAUAUUUUAAACUUUUUCAUUAUUAUUACCUGUCUUAAGGUGACCCGUGAUCAGUGAUUAUGACUCACUGGAAGCUCGGGUGAUGGUUAGCAUUUUUUUUAGCAAUAAUAUAUUCUCUUUAUGUACACCUUUUUGCUUUUUGGAUCUAAUGCUGUUGCACACUUAAUGGACUAUAGUAUAUAACACUGUAUGUUAACUGUGCUGGAAUUAAAAUAAAAGACUUAAAAAAGUAGACUACAGUAUAGCAUAAACAUAACUUUUAUGUGCACUGGCAAACCUAAAAAUUCAUUUGACUUGCUUUAUUGUGAUGUUCCUUUUGUUGCACAGGUCUGGAAUGCUAUAAUAUCUCUGAGGUAUGCCUGUAUAUUUUUUAAAUGUCUGAACUCUAUGGUAGAUUGUUAAAUCUUUGCUUUGACAACUCAGACCUUUUCUAACUUAUAAUACUAAAUCUUCAGAGUGAUGCCUGGCAUAUAACAGGUGCUCAAUAAACAGUUGUUGAAUGAACAUUUUAUGAGGUAAAUACUAGAUCUCCAUUUGAGAGAUAAGGAAGCUGAAGAAUGAAAAACUUGCUCAAUAUUACCCCAUUAGAAAGUAGGAACGUUGAUACUCAAAAACGUAUCUACCACACAGCUCUGAGAUCCUGGGUGUUUUAUGAAUCUCUCCUCCCAUGAGCUAUUUAGCUAACUGAUUAAGAAUACUGGUAAGGGAAGUGGUGUGACAGAAUAAACUAGCUAGGACCUCUGGAAUGAGAAAGAAAAUCUUGGGGUUCAAAGAGACUGAAGGAACUUUAGUAAGAGUUAACAAAUGGCAUGUCAGAGGCAUUAGAAAAAGGAGAAUGAAGAUACUUCUAAACAGGACUCCAGUCUUCUAGGAAAAGUAAGGGAUCAGUUUUGAACCUACCACUCAGUGCAGUGUUUUUCUUGUAGGGAAUGGUGCCUAUCACACUCAUCAAGAACCACACUAAUCACAGUAUAGAGAGGAUAAAAACAGUGUCUGUAGUCAGGACUUUUGGGUUUGGCUUCCAGCAUUGUUAUGGGACCCUUUGGGAAGUUUCUUAAUCUACUUCUGCCUCAGUUUCCUCUUCCAUAGAAAGGAGGACAAUAAAUACUUUUGUCAAAGUUGAUGGGAGGAUUAAAAUAUAAUUAAAAUGCAUAGAUCAGUAGCUGUCCAAAGUAAUCGCUAUAUAUAAACAUUUGCUAUUUUAUUAUUUUACAAAUGACAGAUAAAAGCUUGAUCUGUUUUUUAAAAGAUAGGACAUGAAAGGAGUGAAAAUUAAGAAGCCUUAGCUAUAGUACUUGGAAGGAAGGGAAACUUAGGAAGCCAUCUAUUGAUAGACAAUAAAUAGAAAUAUCAUGUGUGCAUAACUGAUAUAAAACUAAGAUGAGAUUUUGACAUUGGAAAACAUAUGUACACAUAUUAAAACAUGUAUCCUUCUUCAUUUUAGUCAAACUGUUAUCUGAUUUUAUGAAUUAGAUUUCCUGGAACCAGUGGAGUAGUGGGAAAAGAAGGCCCAGGUGAACUCUUUAUGGAUAGUUAGUUAAUAAAUAAACAACUGGGGGAAUCUUCAAAAUUGUCAACUGGCAGAUACUCCCAAAUUCUAUCACUCAUUAAUAGAGAAUUCUGGUUAUAUCUUGAGAUUAUCUGGUCUUUUUCACUUCUACUAUAGAGAUAAUAUGGACAAAGUCUGUGUGUAAUAUUUUAUCUAUUUCAGCAAAAAUACUUUUGUGCCUUUAUUCCUCCCUUUAAAAGGUAAGAGGGUUGGACAGUUAUUCUUCAGAUGUGCUUGUUGAAGCCAGGCUGUGAUAUUUAGAUGCUCUAACAUUAGUUGGCUACUUGCAUUUGCACCUAACUAUCAGUACAAAGCAAGCCUUAUUAUAAACCUACACUUAUUUCAUAGCAUACUGAUUAAAUCACACAAAACUGGUGAGAAUCCUGAUUCUGCUGUUUACUAGCUAAGUGGCUGUGGUCAAGUUAAGUUACUUAAAGCCUCUAAACCUGUUUCUGUAGUUAUAAGAUGCGAAUAACCACAGCACCUACUUCAUAGGAUUCUGAGCAGUGAAUGAGAAAAUGCAUGUGAAGCUUUGGGUAUUCUGCACAGCAUAAGCAAUCAAAUGUUAGCACUAAUCAAUGUGAUGGUUAGCACACUUAAGUGACUUACAUCACCAGUCAAAAUGAUACAGUAUUUCACGUAAUGGCCUUAUUAACUAGCUGUUAAUAAAUUAAUUCUUGGAACUUUACCAUGGUGAAUUUGUUAAGUUAAAAAUACAUAAUGAGAAAAACAUAAAAGUUGAGCUAUUUGGGACUGCACACAGUAACACGAGCCAUUGUAGUAUUCAAACUUAAGAUAUUUUUACCCAUACAGAUUAAUGCUUUCUUUUAAAUAUUUCCAUCUUAAGAGAAGAACUUAACUUAGAUAGAUAUAGUCCUACCUCCAAAUCUUCUUCUUCAUCAAUCUUUUGUAUGUUUUGGUAGGCAGCAGUAUAGACCUCUAAAGCUUUGCCAUGAAAUAACAUUUCAAUAGUGAUAAAUUCUGAAAAUAUAGUCUAAAAAAAAAAAAACCACAAAGAUUUGAAUUUAAACAAUCAUAUGAAUUUGUGAAUUUAGUAAAUUUAUUCCUUAUUAUUGUUUUUGCAUUUUAUGAAAUACAGAGGUAUCUCUUUUUCCACAGGGCACAUCAAGUAUAAAAGAUAAUGGGAAUAAAAAUAGUUGAAAAGACUGUAGCACAACGUUGAAAUUAUAUAAAAUAUUUCUUAUCCCACCAUUUAAUUUCCUCCUAUUUUUUAAUAAUUCAGUUCUUUGUAUACCUUGUAAUAUUUGUGAUAAAAAAAAAGAUCUGACUAAAAUGUAUACCAUAUGUACUCUGUUACCAUAUGUCUCUAAAUAUUAGAUAAAGCAGGUCAGUUCUAAACCUGAUAUUUUAGUAACUCCAACUGAUGUUGAAACAAUAGUAUGUCUUUUUAGACAGGAAUUCUAUCCCAUCAUAUUUCUAUGUGUUACUUGUAUUCUCUAGCCACAAAGGACUUACUUGGUAAUUAUAUUGCUACUACUGAUAAUAGCACCAUGCAUUUGUGUGGAGCUUUUCCAGUUUAUGAAUACGUGACUUGCCUCCUGUUGCUCAUAGCUAGAAUGUUGUAACUUGGGUCUGAUUCUUCAAAGGUUAUAGCUCUUGCUUAUUGUACUGUGCUCUUCUUGCUGGAAUCCAUCAUUUCCUUCACAAAUAAACUAUGCAUGUAAACUCUAUGGAGCAUGAUGACAGCUUACAACAAGGAAGAUAAUGAGCUAAGAGAAUGAAUGGAGAUGUGCAUGUUGAUUUAAGCAGGGGUGAGAUAAUCGGUAGGUAAGGAAAGGAUACAAACCAGAAAAGUUUUCAAUAAAAUAGGAUCUUAUCCUUUUGUUAAUUAUUUUGUCUCUUAUCAAAAUAAAAAAAUCAGAGCAUUAAUAUAGAGAGGAGUGGACAGAAUAAGAAUAAGGUAGAAAGUACCAAAGCAUUGUCCUUAAGGGGCAAGAGAAAAGAGAUGGGCUACAACAGACAAGAGUACCCAUUUCUCUUUGUUGCUGCUCUCCUGUGUUAGUCAUCAAAUAGGAGUGGCCCUGCACUUUGGAAGACAGUGUUAUAGGUAUCCCUUAGUGUCCUGUGAUUUUUUUUUUUUUCUCCUUCAUGUCCAUUCUUUCUUCCUUAAGAAUAUUUAAGGGAGUACUGAUAGGCUUCUGAUCACUACUCGAUGGAAACAGAUCAGUAGUUGAAAGUAUCCCUUCUGGCCUAAAAAGACUGGGCUCUGGGACAAGACACAAGUAUGACUAACAGUGACCCUUACUGUCACUUCAUAUAGGUCACAGAGGGUUCUGGUAUACUGGAAUGGCAACUAAUAAGCAGUAUUAUGACCAAGAAUCUCUAGAUACCCAAGAAUGAAGUCGCUUUUGAUUAAGACUGGCACUUAUUCACUUAGUUGUCCGUCUUCCUAAGAUAGCAGUCUAGCUAGAAAGGAGUCAAGUGCCCUUAGGAGUGUGAAAACUCCAAGAGGGAAAACAGCAGAACCAGAAGUCAAUGAUAUGCCAAAACACUUAAGAUUCCUACUUGGUUCUUGGUCUGCAGCUCAUUUUAGGCAAUGGGAAUAAUCAAGCAGAGGUUUACAACUUUCCUUCUGAAUCUUAAAUUUAGAGAUUUUCUACAUUUACUAAAUAAAGAACUAUGUAAAAAAUAUAGACAUAGCUUGACUUUCUUUUUAUUCAAGGCUGUUAGAGAAAUUUGUUUUCAUUUAUUUAGGUUUAAUGUUUCAGCUAAGUACAGUAGAGAAUCAACAUUUUACAAUGUUACACAGUGCACUCUCUUUUAGUUUUUCUUUUUUGGGUAUUUAUAAAUCAUCUGUUUACUUACGUGGAUCUAUUAUGUGGAGAGAGAAGAUAAGGUAUUUGCUUUAUGCUAUAAAAGUACUUGAGAAAUAAAGUAGCCUCAAAUAAGGGAAUUAAGCUUAAUCAGUCAAGUGAGUUAAGUAUUACUCCUAUUUUUAAAUAUUUCUACAAGUGGACAUUCUAAAUCUUUAUAAUAGACUGUCACACUAUUUAAUAACUAGUGAAAUCCAAAUACUUACAACCUUAUUACACCUAAAUCAGUAGAUUAGGCUUAAUUCAAAUCUAUUCCACUGUGGUAACUUUGUGGAAUAUGCAAACAUUUCAAAAUAAUUUAAAACAUUUUUCAAGUAUUUGAAUAUAGUUAUUAAAUUUCUGAUGGUCAGAAUCUCUGAAUGUGUCAUCUCUGAACUAACAAUUUUUUAAUACUAGCAUUUUAUAGGAUUUACAUUACCCUUAGCUCAUAAGUGAGCCCUGAAAAAUAUGUAGAUACGUCUGUCACUGAAGAAAGCUACAUUAUUUUUGUUUAUUCAUGUCCUCUGAUAAGAGAAUCUACUGCAUUCUCAUUUUAAAAAACACUGAUCAACUUUGAGUCUGUUACCACUUUCCAGUCUCAAUUUAGUUUCAAUUAAUGAUAAGUACUUCACAAAUUCUCUUUAAUCUAUAAAUGGCUAUUAUUUACUAUGUGGAAGGUGGGGGGAGGGAAUCACUCUCAGGUUUUGUGAUACUUUGGUUUAAUCCUUUAUGGUUUGAAUUUUUAUUUCUUGACAAAACCUAUAUUGUAACACCUAAAUAAGACGAGACUGGCCCUACUGAGUUUUUAUACUGUUAAUUUUUCUGUCAAAAACCAUAAUGGGAAAUCAGAAGUACUGGUAAUCUAGUAUCCCAGACUUGGAAUUUUUGACCUAAGAGUUAUGAAGCCUAAAGAUUAUCAUAGAGAGUUACAUCCCUGCGUAUAGCGAGGAGGGAAUACUGCCAAUUAAUUAUACUUUUUUUUUCUAGUUAGAAUUUCACAAAACAUCUGAAGAUAGGCAGAAGGAAGGAGAAAAAUAGCAAGGAACAGAAAAGUUAGGUGACACCUAGUAUAAGAAGAACAUAAAAAGCAUGUUUUUGAAAUUAAAUAGCUUCAGUGAAUCACCAGAAGGGUGGUGGAACUUUUUAGGACCCAAUCAUACUUAGAAAUAAUUUUCCCCAAAUAAAUGUAGCCUAACUUUCAGUAUUCUCAUGUAAUCUUAUCUGCAGUGGGUGAGUAUCAUCAGGGACAGACGCAUUAAUGAGUUAUUUUUUUUUCCCCUUUUCAAUUUUAUUUUGUAUGACUAGAGGGCAAUUUGGGCAUGUACUUAAUUUUUACUGGUAGAAGAUGGGGGAGCUAAUCUGAAAUUCUCUAUUGACAAGUAUUCUGUAAAGCAGGAUAGUAUAUAGGAGUUAAGAUUAUGGGCUCUGGAUUAAGAUAAAUGUGGGUUCCAAUCAUGACCGAACAUAACAGUUAUAUAAUAUAAGCAGUUUAUCUGUACUUUUCCUUAAUUUUUCUCAUCUGUACAAUGGGGGAUAAGAACAGCAUCAAACUCAUAAGUUUGGGGGUGAAGGAUUAAAUGAGAGAAUCCAAGAAAAGGUAUAGUAUGGUGACUGACUUAGAGUAAGUGCUCAACACAAGUUAGCUAUUUUUAUCACUCAAGAAGUAAACUUGCUAAGUUAGAAAAUGCUCCUUAUGUUAAUAUUAAAGCCUCUACCUGGUUUAAUUAGCACGCAACACUUUUAACAAAAAAGUCAUGAAAGGUCUGACUAAUAACAUUUUGGCAAAUAAAGGGGAAAUAAUAACUCCAGAGUAGAGGCUAUUCAAUAAGUGAUGCCAGGAGAACUUUUAUCUACUUGAAAAGAAUAAAGCUAGAUAUGUACCUCAUACCAUAUGCAAAACACAACUGCCAGAUAAAAUGUUUAAAUAUUUAAAAUAUUUUUAAAACUUACAAAUACUACAAGAAAAUAUAAGCAAGUAUUUACAAUCUUGAGGAUGAAAACAACCUUUCAAACAUGACACCAAGUAUGAAACCAAAAAAGAGACCAACAGAUCUGGCAACAAACAUAAAACUUUAUGGCACAAACACACCAUAAACAACAAACUGGGAAAAUACAUUUGCGACAUUUCUCUUCAAUAUAAAAGGUUAAUUCUCUCAAUAUAAGGAUUUUUUUACAAAUUAAUAAGCAAACUGCCAACACUCAAUAAAAAUACAGGCUAAGGACAAGUGUGGGUAAUUUACUAAAGAAGAAAUAAAUGUAUUAUUAAAUAUAUGAAAAAAUAUUGUCUUAAUAGUAGUAAGUGCAAAUUAAGAUUACAUCGAUUUUUUUCACCUAUCAGACUAAUUAUUAAAAAGACUACUACUCAUCAUUGGUAUACUGGGUUGCUCAUGCAGGUUUUAUAGAAAUGUAAACCAGUUAAAACUUUGCGGGCAGGAGUUUAAAGCUUUGUGGACAGAAGGUAUCAAAAUUUAAAGGGUGUAUGCUCUUUGAAUCAGAAAUACCACUCUGGUAAUUUAUCCCAAAAGAACAACUGGAUCAGCAAAAAGCCGAAUGUUUAAUGAUGCAAUGAGAUCUAUACCUGCAAAAAUAAUGUUGAUAUCACCAAUAAGGACUGGUUAGAUAAAGUAAUAUAUAUCCAUAGCAAAAACUGUGAGGAUACCAAAAGGAUGAUACACAUCUGUUUCUUAGCAAAUGUCUGUGAUAUAUUAAAUUUUAAAAGGAGAUGCUACAUAUAGUGUGGUCCACUUAAAUAUAACUGUAUAGGGGUAAUGAUAUUACCUCCCUCAUAAAGAUGUUGUGAGGAGUAAGUGAGUGUAUCCACAUAAAAUGCAUAGAAUAUGUGACAUAGUUAACACCUAAGAAAUAUUUAUUAUCCUAUCUCUUGUGUAUAUGUACAUAGAAAAAAGUUGUAAUGACAUAAACCAAAAUGCUAAUUUAUUAUUUCUCAGUAGUAGGAUUAUUAUACUUUCUUAAUAGUUUCAUGCAGAAAAUUUAUGGUUAUUUUAUAUUUAGUUAUAAGAAAAAUAAAGCUAUUAAAAUUAAAUUUAGAAGAUGUUUCUUGUUCAUGUCAGCUACUUUGCCACAUACUGAAUUCCUGUUCCUCUCUGUUCCAGGAGUGACCCCCUGUUUAAGAUCCUUUUUGUAGGCCUGAAAUUCCCUUGACAUUCACCAUGUAACUGAUGAUUUUUCCUAUUAUAUGGGAAACAAAUGGGAUUGUGAUUUUUCAUCCACAUUCUGUACUCUUAAGUUCCAUACCAACUUUUCUCAAGCCAAUUUUUUGCAAGGUUCCUGUGAAGUCUUUAUCUAAAAAUUGUGCUACCUUGCUGAUUAAUUAAUUGUGCUACUUUUGCUGCUACCAAAAUUCAGAUGGACUUGUCAGUUAAACCUACCUCCCACAUUGUUGUACAGUAAUCAGCAGUGCUCACUCAUUUCUGCCCCCAGAGAGGUUAGAGGAGCCAGAAGUUCUGCCCCCAUCUGAACCAGUAGCCUGAUAAAAGAGUUGAUGCAAUUCCUACCAGAAUCCCACCUGACUUCUUUAUAGAAACUGAGAAGCUGAUUCUAAAAUUCAUACAGAAUUACAACAGAUCUAGAAUAGCCAAAACAAUCUUCAAAAGAAGAAAGUAGAAGAACUUAUACACCCUGAUUUUAAAAUUCAUUAUAAAGCAAUGCUAAUCAAUGUAGUGUGGUACUGGCAUAGGACAGACCUAUAGAUCAAUGAAAGGCAAAGUUCAGAAACAAAACCAUGUCAACUGAUUUUUACCAAGGGUUCGAAGGCUAGUCAAUGGAAAAGAAUAGCUUCUUCAACAAAUGGUGCUUGGGCAACUGGACAGUCACAUGCAAAAAGAUGGAAGUUUAACCUUCAGCUCACACCAUAUAUCAAAAUUAAUUCAAAUGGAUCAAAGACUUAAAAGAACUAUGAAAACUAUACAACUGUUAGAAGAAAACAGGGAUAAGUCUUCAUGAUCUCAGAUUCGGCAAUGGAUUGUUAGAUAUGACACUAAAAACACAAGCAACAAAAGAAACAAAUAUAUUGACUUCAAGCAUAAAAACUUUUCUGCUUCAAGGAACACCAUGAAGAUAGUGAAAAGAACCCUAAGGAUGAGAGAAAAUAAUUGCAAACCAUAGAUCUGAAAAGGGACUUGUAUCCAGAAUAGAUAAAGAACUUUUACCACUCAAUAAUAAAAAGACAACCCAAUGAAAAUAUGGGCAAAGGGUCUGAAUACACAUUUCUUCAAGGAAGACAUACCAAUGGCCAAUAAGCAUUAGCAGGGAAAUGCAACUCAAAACCACAAUGACCUACCAUUUCACACCCACUCGGAUGGUUGUGAUGAAAAAGUCUGAUGAACAGCAAGUAUCGGUGAGGAUGCAAAAAAAUUUGAACCUAAUCUUGAAGCCCCUUUGGAAAACAGUCUGGAAGUUUCUCAGAUGAUUACAGAUAAGAUUAUACCAUAUGAUGCAGCAAUUCAAUUAGAUGUAUACCUAAUAAAAAUGACAAUUUAUGUCCAUACAAAAACUUGUAUAUGAAUGUAUCGUUAAUCACAAUAGCCAAAAGGUAGAAACCACCCAAGUGUCCGUUAACGGAUGAACCGAUAAACAAAAUGUGGCAAUACUCAUAUAAUAGAAUAUUUGGCCAUAAAAAGGAAUGGAUUAUACUCCUAGGAUACAUGUUAUGACAUGAGAGCAUGUAUAUAGCUAAUAUACAUAUAUGUAUAUAAGUAUAGUUAAUAAUGAAAACAUUACGCUAAGUGAAAGAAGCCAGUUAUAUAAACCAUGUCAUGAUUCCAGUCACAUGAACUGUCCAGAGUAGCCAAAUCCAUAGAGUCGUGAGAUAAGUAAGUGAUGGUUGCUUAGGGCUGGGGUGGGGUGGGGUGGGGUGGGAGGAGCAGUGAAGUACUAGGUCUUACUUUGAAGUGAUAAUAAUGUUCUAAAAUUGAGUGGUGAUGAUUACAUAUAUCACAACACAUUAAAAACUACUGAGUUGUACAUUUUAAGUGGGUAAAUUGUGUGGUGUAUGAAUUAUAUCUCAAUUUUCUAAAAAGUAGGUUUCUUCCUGUCUAGCACUUUUGUGACCACCAAGAGCCUUCCAAGGGCAUGAUACAGUAGGUAAAGAGAAAGCUUGGAAGCCCUUCUCUGUGCACCCUCCACUGUGCAGUCUCUUUCUAUGUCAUAAUGCUUCAGAAAAUCCCAGGUACUUGGAAUUGCAGUUGGGAAUUCUGCAUUCACUGUCUCUGCCUGUUCUGUAACUGGUGGUUACUCAGGGAAUUAAAAACACAUGUAGAGGUAGUCUGCCCCUGAAGUGAGCCCAAAGAUCAGAGACACAGAUUGCCAUGUGUACAAGGAAAUUUUGCAGGCAUGAGGAUCAGCGGGAGAGAGGAAUCAGACUGCCAUCACUGAAGAAGCCCUUAAGUGGCAAUGGAAUCAAGCAUACCUCACCAGUCUUCAUUCUCAUUGUUCAGGUUAAAGCUAUUAUUUUAAUAAUCUUCUUUCCUUUCUCCCUCAAUUUAUGAGAUGAUGUCAGUGACUGUAAAAUGUUAUAUCCUGCCCACACUCUCCCACCUCAGUAAAUGGAGUUUGUCUCCUCUAUUAAAUGAGAUGGUCUUCAUGAGCAGUAAUCUACCAUUACAAAGCAGAGUGCAAAGUGAAUUGAGAGGCUUUAAAAAAGGGUUUUGGUCUUCAGGACCAAACCAGAGACUUUUGAGCAUGGUUAUCAGAAAAAAUCAAAGUUCUGAAAUCCUUUAAAACUGUAACGGGGAGAAAAAGGUACAAAUGAAUGUUGUUUCGUGGACUGUAAAGAGGAAUGAUAUAAUUAAAUGGCAGAUAAUUUUACUGAUAAGAACGUAACUUUUGAAAGCAAGAUGUUUUCUUUGUUAGUAGUUGUAAAAUGACAAAAGUAUUUUUCUUUAAAGCCUUUUUCUCAGAAAAUUUGCAGCAAGACAAAACACAUCCUAGAUUACUUGUUUUAAAGGACAUAAUAUGGUCAUAAGCAAUCCUCCAAAUCUUUCCAAAUGCAUAUGAAAAAGUCACUGAAGACUUCUGAAGUCUAUGGUCUGAAAGAUGUCAUAUCUACUGGUAUGUUGCAAUAAGAUAAGGCAAUUCUUACGACACUGAAUCAUGGUGGAUGCAAAUUUAUGUGGUUGGCUACUCUUGCUAUUUUUUUAUGUGAUAAUAUCUAGUUACUAGAGAGCAUUUAAUGAGUGUAUUAUAAUGGAAAGCACAGAUUUUUAAAAUACAUAAUUGGUUUAUAGUUUCAGAUUUUUGGCUAUGAUACUUUGGGUAAAUUACUUUCUAUCUUUGCUUAAAUUUUAUAUAAUGUAUGGAUAACACCACCUCAUUCUUAUGAAGUUGCUAUAAAGAGAAUUCAUAUAAAGUGCCUGUAACAGCACUGGAUGCACAAAAACGUAAGAAAUGUUAGUUUCCUUUGAUUAAAUAGAAAUGGAAUAAGUUGAAUAUCUGAGGAAAUAGGAAAAUAUCAUCUGAUAUAUUUUUAUUUAUAGUACCUUUUCCAUAUAGACUGUGGGCUAAAUCAGCAUUAAAAUUUUUCAUACAGUUAAAUAAACAAAAAAUAACAUUAGAAAACAUGUUGCAGACUUUAACAGUUACUUUAUUACCUUUAUAUCCUUUAUUUUCUGCUUUUCGAAAUUGUCAAUGGUUUCCUCCAGAUGACGAGUUGUUCGGGUAGCAUCCAUUGUAGCUCUCUGCAAUUCAGUCUCUGCCUACAAAAAGUAUUCCCCAACCAAAGAUAUAAAACAGUUCAAGUUAGAAUCCAUUCAACUGAGUCUAAAUGUUACAAUUGCCCUAUUGGCUUUUUGGCGUAAUACUGUAAACUGUUCAAGAAUAUAUUUUACCACAUAAAAUAAAAUGAUCUAUAUAAUAAGCAUGUGCAGAAUAAAGAACUUUAAAUCUA